UCAAUCCGUGCAAAGGAGAAGAGAAAAAAAAGAAUGGGCAAACGAGUUUGUGAAAAGAACGACGCGUGCUACGUCGUGCAGAAUAUGUUUAGAACUAAAAGUAUUGGAAAUAAUCGUUGGAAUGAAAUAAUAUUCAUAUAUAUGUAUAGAAUGAUUUGACCGAUAUUUUGAAACGUUGAAGAACAUCGGUGGAAUUACAUAAAAAUAAUCCAACGGAUUCACGAGACAAUUGCAUCUAAUUUACAACAAACAAUGGCUACAAAUUUACGAUCGACAGUAUAUAUUUUAUCUGUUACAUCGAAUACCACGCAUCAUCGUUUACGCAACAGAGUAUAAUAAUUCAUUUCGGAAAUUAAAAUUUCUUCCACAUGACAAUGCAACUUCUUCGUAUCAAAAAUACAUCUAUAAAGUUGUUUCAAGGUAAAUCUUUGAUCGGCCAUCAUCGUUCUCGAUGUCAUAAAUCUCAUGUCACCCGAUCUCACAUUCAUCCAAAUAAGAAGAACAAACAGGCUCGAAAAAAGAGAAGAAAAGGAAAGGAAAGAAAACGAAAAAAAAAAAAAAAAAAAAACAAAAAACAAAGCGAUGAUCGACAGAGGCGUGAGAGAAAGCGUGGCGAGUACGUAACGUGUGUGCAAAGAGGACGAAAACGAAAUGUGUACAGAAGCGAUUCUCGAUAAGUUCCACGAACGAUCGGCUUUUAUGCUGGGAAGCGCUUGGACACGGUAGUUGGACCGUGACCGAACCAAGAAGCAUAAUUAAUUAUCCGAUGUGAUCUUUGGCGAGUUGGUGGCAAGGAACCAGCCACCGUUCAGAUUGCGCUUGGCCAGAUGGUAAACAGAUCUGGAUCAGAGGAGAAAAUUUGAGAUGAAUUAAAAUUUGUUUCCACAAAUAAAUAUUAAUUCGAAUAUUUUUCCUCUAAUUUCUACGAUUUACGUGGAAAUAAUGUUUAUUUAUUGUUCGUAUGUGGAUUUGUAAUGUGAAAUGAAAUAUUUAUUUUCCGUUUAAUCGAAAUGUAUAUACGCUACUGUCAAAGAUUUUCUUUGGCAUUUUAUUUAAUAAUUUCUUUAGAUCUUCCGGAAUUUGUACAUCUUACAAAGAAGUUAGAAACUACUUACCGAAGAAUACUUUCUAAGUACUCUGUAACUUGAUAAUGCAAACGCAUAAAUUUGUGUACUAUGUAAACGGAAAUUUCACAGUAACAACUCGAGCUAAAACUAAACAUUGUAUGAAAUCCAAUCAGGUUUUCACAAGGAUUUCGAAAAAUAAAUCAAAACAAUUCCACUCUAAUAAAAAAGACAAGAAGAGAAAAGAAAACGGCGAUUUAUCUAUCGUUGAUCUGAAAGCAAUCGAAAAUACAAUAAUCCAUACGAACAGUACAUAACGAAUAGUCGUAUCGAGCUAUUACGCAAUAAAGGACAAUGUUGGCAUAGGUUUUGGCCGCAGGCGAGUCUUUUAAUCAUAUUCAAUCGUAUAAUAAUUAAUAUUCAUUCUUGCGCGUUAAUAUUCAAUCUUGCACAAUCAGGAAUCGACGAGCGAUUUUCAGACAGCCGGUGUCCCGUUAAGAAAUUGCAUUUGUAUGCUAUCGAACGAUCCGAUCUCUUGGAGAGCUUGCUUGUGGCACGAUAAAUAAUGUUAUAUGUAUACCCCCUUUUUUUUUUCUUCUCUUUUCCUCCAUUUCUUCUCUUCGUAACAGUAAAUUCGUUUCUUUAUCUUUUCCUUUCUGUCUUUUCUGUCGAGUUGGAGAAAAUAGAUUCUUGAAAUUGAUAUUUAAAGGGAAAGUUUUCUUCACUUUUUUAACCAAUAUGUAGGAUAUACCUUUCUUAUUUCAUAUCCAAAAAGUGGGAUAAACGUAGAACAUCCCUCAAGUUUGAUAAAAUGAUUAAUUCAAUGAAAACCUAAUCUAAAUCACAUUCAAAAAAGAAAAUUAUACAAUGUGAAAUACUUCUGAAGUGAAAAUAUAUAUGUAAUCUAACCUGAUUUAAUUUAAUCUAAAACAUAUUCAAAAAGGAAAAAGUACAUAAUAUGAAACACUUAUAGUCUAAUAAUAAAGUGAAAUUAUAUAUAUAAGUAAACUUAAACGUGAAACACAUUCAAAAAAGGAAAAGUAUAUAAUAUGAAAUAUCUAUGAAGACUGACAAUAAAGUGAAAAUAUAUAUGAUGUAUGUAAUCUAACCUGAUUCAACUUAACUUGAAACAGAUUCAAAAAAGGAAAAGUACAUAAUAUGAAACACUUAUAAAAUGAAAUUAGUACAUAUAUGUAAGUAAAUUCAUUGCUAAAUGUCACUAUGGCCCAUAUCUUGAAAACAGAUCGAUUUCUCGAACGUUAUUAUGCGAUAUCCAAUUGUAAUCCUCGACAAGAGCAAAAGCUUCUUGAUGGCGCGAGAAUUCUUAUCGCGAUCGUCAUUAGCCUGAUUCGAGACCUCCCACUGGCUGGCAGCUUUCUACGGGUAAACGUUAUUUAUUGGAGGAUUAAUAAGCGGCUGGCUAACCGGUGAUUAGAGGCCGCCUUCUCGAGACUUUCAUUAUCGUAAAACGUGUCGAUUGUGAUUGUGCCCCCGACACCGACGAAAAAACUAUCUUUACCAUAGCCGUUCUUUUCUUCCACUGCUGGGAUGAGCAUCAACAAUGAUGUGGAUUGAUUAUAAAUGGAAGAUUUUACAUUUUUAAUUUUUAAUGUUACGAAGACGUAAUUGGAAUUUAGAUAAGUGAACGUGGCAAUACGUAAAGUCUCGUUCAUAAAGUUGGAGUUCCAGUUCUGUAUUUUAUUUGAAUCCUUCCUUUCUUUCGAUGAAGAUUAUUUACAAUAAUGUGGAUUGAUCAUGAAUGGAAGUUUGAAAAUUUUUUUACAUUUUUAACGAAGACGUAAUUGGAGUUUAUAUAAUCAUAUAAUCAUAUCUAUUAUGUAAAGUUUCUCGGUGAUUAAGACGAAGAUUAACGGCGAUGGAAAUUUAAAGAUUUAUAUUUAACUCUCGAGGAUCAAAAAGUGACCGAUAUUCAUAAAUACUAACCAGGUUUAAUUGAACAAGGAUUAAUUAUAUUAUAAUUGUAUAAUUGAAAAUGAAGUCAAAAUUCGCAUUUAUAUUAAAAUUCACAUCUUCCAACAGACUUGCAGACUUCAGAUCCUUCUACUCUUCCACCAUUCUUCAGAGCUCGAGUACAAAAGGCAAUUUACUGUAUGCUUCCCUGCAUAAACUACGAACUACAAAUAAACAAACGUCCAAUUUCAAAGAAAUUUUAUCUCGUACACGAGUUAACCGAUAACCAUAACGAUCGGUGGAUGCGGAUAUUUCGUGAGAUCCACUUCUCCAUAAAAAGGUUUCGAAAAGAGAAAGAAGAAUCAAUUAACGACUCGAGAGGAGAGAGACUUUUGUAUAGCGGCACCGGUGGCGAGGAUGGAAGGACCAAGCUCUCGAGGAUCUCGACGGUAGAAAUAUACCUUAUUCGAUGGUGUCGUUCACCUUCCAGAUGACCGUAAACGAAGACCGGUCCAAAACGGAGCGGAACACCGGUUCAAAGAGGCUUUCUUUUACAAGAUCCUCGAUUAUUUCUUCCUGGAUUCGAAGCGACAAUGAUCUAAUGGAAAUCGAUCGAUUGAUAUUUGUUCAAUUUAAUCGUCAUCCAUAUGUAUGUAAAGAAUAAAAGCUUCCAAACAAUCACCAACUUUUAACGAUACGAAUACAUCAUACAAAGAAUCUUUC